rnacentral:rRNA from 1 species
AACGAACGCUGGCGGCAGGCUUAACACAUGCAAGUCGAACGCCCCGCAAGGGGAGUGGCAGACGGGUGAGUAACGCGUGGGAAUCUACCCAGAUCUUCGGAACAACUGAGGGAAACUUCAGCUAAUACCGGAUACGCCCUACGGGGGAAAGAUUUAUCGGUUCUGGAUGAGCCCGCGUUGGAUUAGCUAGUUGGUGAGGUAACGGCUCACCAAGGCGACGAUCCAUAGCUGGUCUGAGAGGAUGAUCAGCCACACUGGGACUGAGACACGGCCCAGACUCCUACGGGAGGCAGCAGUGGGGAAUAUUGGACAAUGGGCGAAAGCCUGAUCCAGCCAUGCCGCGUGAGUGAUGAAGGCCUUAGGGUUGUAAAGCUCUUUCAGUAGGAAAGAUAAUGACGGUACCUACAGAAGAAGCCCCGGCUAACUUCGUGCCAGCCGCCGCCGUAAUAC